rnacentral:rRNA from 1 species
CCUACGGGCGGCAGCAGUGGGGAAUAUUGCACAAUGGGGGAAACCCUGAUGCAGCGACGCCGCGUGAAGGAAGAAGUAUCUCGGUAUUUAAACUUCUAUCAGCAGGGGAGCAAAUGACGAUACCUGACUAAGAAGCCCCGGAUAACUCCAUGCCAGCAGCCGCGGUAAUACGGAGGGGGCAAGCGUUAUCCGGAUUUACUGGGUGUAAAGGGAGCGUAGGCGGCGGUGCAAGUCAGAAGUGAAAGCCCGGGGCUCAACUUCGGGACUGCUUUUGAUACUGUGUUGCUAGAUUGAAGGAGGGGUAAGUGGAAUUCCUGGUGUAGCGGUGAAAUGCGUAGAGAUUAGGAGGAACACUAGUGGCGAAGGCGGCUUACUGGACUGUAAAUGACGCUGAGGCACGAAAGCGUGGGGAGCAAACAGGAUUAGAUACCCCUGUAGUC